GCCGGGCGUGGUGGCGGGCGCCUGUGGUCCCAGCUACUCGGGAGGCUGAGGCAGGAGAAUCGCUUGAACCCGGGAGGUGGAGCUUGCAGUGAGCCAAGAUUGCGCCACUGCACUCCAGCCUGGGUGACAGAGCAAGACUCUGUCUCAA
rnacentral:SRP_RNA from 1 species